GACUGCUGGACUUUGAUACAGGAAGACAGUCCCACCCUGUAAAUUCCCUUUAACUUCCAGCAUUUCCUGCUGUGGUGGGGAACUAAGCCAGUCCAAAUGGAACAGAGUGGUAGGAAGAUCUUCAGCAGCAUCUGUUCUGUGAAGAGAACAUCAUAAACAGCAUUUGGAGAGAAAGUGAAAAAAGAUAAGGUAUAAUCUGAAGAAGGAACCAUGACCUCCACAAUGAGUUGCUCUGAGGAACAAUACUCCCAGAAAACUAGGAGAUGGGAGAAUCGUGUGAUUUGGUCUAAAGUCAGAUUGGUUCAGGGUCAGAGCUCUGACUCACCUAAACACAGCUGUGUGUUAAUGAAGAAUGACCACUCAACGGACAGAGUAAUACACUUCAGAGAGGAUAGCAGUGCUGCUGAGCUCAGAAUGAGAAAGAGAAAGAGAUCAGAUUCACCUCCACCCACCUGUGUGUCCAUGAAGAGCAACUGGUCAAUGGACCAUCCAUUUAACUUCAGAGAGAAGGAAAGUUCUACUGAGCAGAGAAUGAGAAAGAGAAAGAGAUCAGAUUCACCUCCACCCACCUGUGUGUCCAUGAAGAGCAACUGGUCAAUGGACCAUCCAUUUAACUUCAGAGAGAAGGAAAGUUCUACAGAGCAGAGGCAGCACACCACACCGACAGCACUGAAGAUUAACAUUUUGACAGAUAUUUACCAACCGGUGGAUAGUGUCUUUCACAGAGUCUUAGAAAGACACAAAACCAACAUGAAGAACAAGUAUGAGAGCUUAUUUGAGGGAAUCAAAACAGAGGAGAAUGAAACCCUCCUGAACAGGAUUUACACAGAGCUCUACAUCAUAGAGGGAGAGAGUGAAGGAGUGAAUGAAGAACAUGAGGUUUUACAGAUAGAGAAAACAUCCAGGAGACACUUACAAGACUCUCCAAUUAACUGCUUAGAUAUAUUUAAACCUCUACAAGGUCCUGAAGGAGAAACACAAGAAGAGAACUUUAGAGAUGUGAUGGCUAACAGUCUCAGACUCAAAGAAAGAAAAGAAGAUAACAGACCAGAAGAGCCAGAGCUCAGAGCUGUUCUGACUAAAGGCAUUGCUGGAAUUGGAAAAACUGUCUCUGUGCAGAAGUUCAUCCUGGACUGGGCUGAAGGAAAAGCCAAUCAGGAUGUAGAGUUAAUGUUUUUGCUUCCAUUACGGGAGCUGAACUUAAUUAAAGAUGAUCAGUACAGUCUUCAUGGACUUCUGUGUGACUUUCAUCCUGAGCUAAAUGAUCUGGACCCAAACAUUUAUGGUCAGCUAAGAACUGUGUUUAUAUUUGAUGGUCUGGAUGAAAGCAGAAUUCCACUGAACUUUGAGCAGUGUGAGAAAAUAUCUGACAUCACCAUGACAUCAUCAGUGGGUGUGUUGAUGACAAACCUCAUCAAAGGAGAGCUGCUUCCCUCUGCUCUGAUCUGGAUAACCUCCCGACCAGCAGCAGCCAAUCAGAUCCCUCCUAAAUACAUCAACCGUGUCACAGAAAUUCAGGGAUUCAGUGACCCACAGAAGGAAGAGUACUUCAGGAAGAGGAUCAGUGAUGAAGACCAAGCCAAGAGAAUCAUCUCACACAUUAAGACAGUGAGGAGCCUCCACAUCAUGUGCCACAUUCCAGUUUUCUGCUGGAUCUCAGCCACUGUUCUUCAGCAAAUAAUGAAACAGCAUAAUACAGAAAUCCCUACAACUCUGACUGGAAUGUACUCACACUUCCUGAUCACUCAGACCAACAUGAAGAACGAGAAGUAUGAGGAGAAAGAUGAGGGAGACCCAAAGAACCUGCUGGAAUCCAGCAGAACCAUUCUUCUGAAAUUGGCUGAACUGGCUUUCAAACAGCUGAUGAAGGGCAAUAUGAUGUUCUAUGAAGAGGACCUGAGAGAGAGCAGCAUUGAUGUCACUGAGGCCUCAGUGUUUUCUGGGAUUUUCACUGAGAUCUUUAGGGAGGAAUUUGUGCUUUACCAGAGAAAGGUCUACUGCUUUGUUCAUCUGAGCUUUCAGGAGUUCCUGGCUGCUGUUUUUGUGUUUCACUGCUAUGAGAGCAGAAACAUGGAGGAACUGCAGAUAUUUAAACCACUAAACAGCGAGUGGUGUGAGGAUGUUCCUCUAGAUGAGGUGCUGAAUGGAGCAGUAAAUACAGCUGUUAAAAGUCAGAAUGGACACCUGGAUCUUUUCCUCCGUUUCCUGCUGGGCAUCUCAGUGAAGUCCAAUCAGACACUACAGGGUCUACUGACGCACACACAGUGCAGCUCAGAGAAAACUAGAGAGCACAUCAAGAGUUUAAUCAAAGAUGAUGAAUAUAAACAAUAUCACAUCUCCACUGAGAGAUCCAUCAAUCUGUUCCUCUGUCUGUCUGAAAUGAAUGACCAGUCUCUCUACAGAGAGAUUCAGAAGUAUCUAAAAUCAAAGAAACACUCAGAGGUGAGACUCUCUCCUGGACAGUGUUCAGCACUAACAUAUAUGAUUCUGAACUCAGAGGAGGUUCUGGAUGAGCUGGACCUGAAAAAAUACAACACAUCAAAGAAGGGUUAUAAGAGACUGAUCUCAGCUCUGACUGUCUGCAGAAUAGCUCGACUAAAUGGCUGCUAUAUCACCAAGGACUGCUGUGACACUCUCUGUGCAACUCUACAAUCUGUGAACUCCCCUAUAAAAGAGCUGGACCUCAGUAACAAUGAUUUGCAAGAUUCAGGAGUCGAGCUGCUCUCUGCUGGACUGAAGAGUUUACAUUGUAAACUGGAGAUACUCAGACUAACCAGCUGUAGUCUCAACAAAAACUCCUGUGAAAAUCUGUCAUCAAUUCUACAAUCAGAAAACUCUUCUCUGAAAGAGCUAGACCUUGGUAACAAUGACCUGCAGGAUUCAGGAGUGGAGCUGCUCUCUGCUGGACUGAAGAACUCACACUGUAAACUGAAGGCACUCAGACUAUACAUCUGUGGUCUUGGUGAAAAAGCUUGUGAGAAUCUGGGAUCAGUUAUACAGUCAGCAAACUCCUCCCUGAAAGAGCUGGACCUCAGCAACAAUGAACUCCAGGAUUUAGGAGUGGAGCUGCUCUCUGCUGGACUGAAGAAUUCAUACUGUAAACUGGAGACACUCAGAUUGUCUGGGUGUAUGGUUUCAAAUGAAGGAUGUUCAUCUCUGGCUUCAGCUCUGAAAUCAAAUCCCUCCCACCUGAGAGAACUGGAUCUGACCUAUAAUCACCCAGGAGAGUCUGGAGUGAAGCUGCUGGCUGAUCUAUUGGAGGAUCCACUCUGCGCACUGGAGAAACUACAGGUGGAUCAUGGAGGGAAGAUCAGGAUUAAACCAGGACUGAAGAAAUAUGCUGUUGAUCUCACUCUGGAUCCAAACACAAUGAACAGAUUUGUCUCACUGUCUGAGAGGAACAGAAAGGUGGAUGGUAUGAGAGAAGAUCAGCAUUAUCCAGAUCAUCCAGACAGAUUUGAUAUCUGGUCUCAGGUUCUGAGUGUGGAGACUCUGACUGGGCGCUGUUAUUGGGAGGUUCAGUGGAGUGGGGUUGCAGCUGAUAUAUCAGUAUCAUACAGAGGAAUCAGAAGGAAAGGAGACAGUGAUGACUGUGAGUUUGGAAAUAAUAGACUCUCCUGGAGUCUGGAGUGCUUUAGUAACAGUCACUCUGUCGGUCACAAUAAUCAGAAAACUGCUCUACCUGCGCCCCCCUCCCCCUCUAACAGAGUAGGGGUGUAUCUGGACUGGGAGUCUGGCACAGUGUCCUUCUACACCAUCUCACCUUACACACACACACUAACCCACCUACACACAUUCACCACCACAUUCACUGAACCGCUCUACGCUGGGAUUAGAGUUUAUUAUAACUCCUCAGUGAGUCUGUGUGAAAUAGAAUAACCUUUACAGAGAGAGAGGGACAGAAACAAAGAGCAUUUUAGUGUAAAAUAUGCUUGUUGUUUAGCAUUUGAUCUCAGACUGUGAAUAUGAGUCUGAGAUCCGAAUACAACUCAAAUCAGUUGGUUCACAGGUGUGGUAUUUUGAAAGGCAGUGCCUUGAAAUGACAAAAAAGUGACAUCAUGUUAGAUUUCUGUGUCUAAAAAAGAGAAGUGUGUUUAGUGUUUGUGUAGUGUUUAGCUACAAGCCUCAGAAUGUGCUCAUAAUUGUGCAGAUGGGGUUAAAGAUUUGCUUCUGAGGUGUUAUUUCUAAAUUUAGCAUGUAAGCAAUCAUAAAAACUGUAAUAGAUAUAACUUUAGUAAAAAAAAAAAAUUAAAUGAUAAUUGAUUUGCUCUUCCUUGUUUGUGAGUUAGUGCAGCAAAUCUGUGCAUCUUUUUUCUGCAUGAGGCUUAAUAAAAUGUUCCAGAGAUACAUGUUUGAAAAAGUCUUGCAAGGGCGUCACAUACCAAAAUAAAUUUCCAUAACCACUGGACUACAGUAACAGUAAUACUCACCUCCUCAGUCAUCCCCAGUCCUCACCUCCUCCGUCAUACAGUCAUCCCCACCAGGCUGGUCACCAGGCUCAGUGAUCUGGGAAUCAGCACCCCACUGUGUAAUUAGAUCUUGGACUUCCUGACAAACAGACCCCAGUCUGUGAGAUUGGGCAGCCACCCUCACCCUGAACACCGGUGUUCCACAAGGCUGUGUGCUGAGUCCUCUGCUCUUCUCUCUGUUUACCCAUGACUGCGUUCCUCUGCACACAUCAAACAUUAUUAAAUUUGCAGAUAUUGCCACAGUGGUUGGCCACGUCAGCAACAAUGAUGAAACGGCCUACAGGGAGGAGAUCCAGCACCUGGCUGCCUGAUGUACCGCCAACAACCUCUCCCUCAACAUGGACAAAACCAAGGAGCUCAUUGUGGACUACCAGAAAAACAAAAGCUGCACACACUGUCCCCGAAUCAACGGUUCUGAGGUAGAGCAUGUCUCCAGCUUCAAGUUCCUGGAAGUACACAACUCCAACUGUGUGACAGUGUGGUACAGCAGCUCCACUGAGGUCUACAUGAAGGCCCUCCAAAAAAGUUGUGAGGACCGCUGAGUGCAUCACUGACACACGGCUCUCUGCCAUCAGAGACAUUCACCACCAGCACUGUGUAUGCAGAGCGUGCAGCAUCAUUAAGGACUCCUCCCACCCCAGCCACACACUGUUUAACCUCCUCCCAUCCAGGAGGAGAUACAGAAGCAUUCGGACCAGAACCAGUCAUCUCAGGUCCAGCUUCUUUCCCUCCACCAUCACCCUGCUGAACUCCACACCACUCCACUGAUAAUCAUACUUCUCCUGUAUAUAUUGGUGAUUCAGUGCAGCCUUGGCAGUAGAGCAUUUGCACGCUGCCGUGGUGAGUACAGCUCGUAUGUUCAGCUCAGCAAAACUGCAGAUAACUAUGUAAAGUGUUGUAAUAUUUGACUUUUGUCCCUACUGUCUUGAAAUACAUGUAAUAGAGACCAGUACACCCAGUUGGGCUUUUCCAAAAUGCUUUAUUUAAAGAGUUAUAAAUUCGAAGCUAAACCUGAACUGAACUGUGCUAACGUUAGCCUGUUUCUUUAGUUGUAUGCUGGCCGAAGCACAAACAGAGACUUAAACUGUGGUUGCCAUACUCAUUACAGGUAUGUUAUAUUCAUGUUUUAAGGUGUUUUAGAACAGUAUCAAUGAGCACAGCAAUGCUAGCUGUUUUAACUAGCUUAUUCUUGCACCAUGUGGUCUGGAUGCCAUAUUUUGUGUUCGCCACCAGAUGGCAUUAUUUCAUAUUUUACCUUUUUGUUGAUGUUUCACUAAUUAAGAAAAGGAUGAUGUAGCUAUAAAAUAUAAUUCAUAUUGACACUGAUGGAAAUGUAAAAUGUAGAUCGAAUCUAAAAACUGAGCGUAAUAUGGAAACACAAGCACUUUUACCACUAUACGAUCAUAGUAAUUUGUAAAGGUAAUUAUAUUAUUUUCAUGAAUGUAUAUUUCUCGUCAUUGGUUCAUUUUGGAAAUAUAUUUAGACCAAUGUAUUCUUUGAGCAGUAGAGUGUUUGCACGCUGCCGUGUUGUAUGCUGGCCGAAGCACGAACAGAGACUUAAACUGUGGUUGCCAUACUCAUUACAGGCAAAUAAAACUGCAUCAUUCGAACUCGGUGUCCAUCAUGGGACCAGGGUGGACGAACACCCGAUAAGAAGGGUCACACAUGUCCAUACAACAGUGUGUUCACUGUAUAUAGAAUACAACAAAUAACUGCUUACUCUAACAGUAUGUAACAUACCGCAUAUAUAUUGUAUUUAUAGUACUAUGCAUAUCCAACCCCAAUUCCAAAAAAGU